rnacentral:tRNA from 1 species
GGCUGCGUAGUUCAACGGAUAGAAUAGGCGUUUCCUAAACGCUAGAUAUGAGUUCGAUUCUCGUCGCGGCUA